UUCUUCAUCAUAACAUCACGUAAAGCACUGGGAGUUAAUACCGUGGUUUCUGCGGACUCCCUUUUGUGGGUGCUUGGUUCUCGGAGGGGGAGGGGAGGAGCUGCACUCCCCAGGGGUCUUUGUGUCUGGAGGGGGCUGGUGAAGCCGCCUGGCAGAGCUGGAGUUCCUGUCUUUGUCUGUGGCGGAGAAGCACGUGGUCCCCUUGCAGCUUACGGGGUAAGAAUCUCAGCUUUAAACUCUCCCUGUUUUGAUUUGUUGGCCUCAAUUUCGAUAUCAUACGUAGUAAAUUAACGUUACUCCUCAAAUUGUUGCCGCUCUUUUGUUUUAGACCCGUCUACGUUUUUCCUACCCUUCCCCUUUUCCCUUUGUGUUCCCCAGGGCGUGGGUCCGCGGGUCCCCUGCCUCAUUAGCCACGGGACCAGGCCGGCCCCUAAACCGCAGCCACUUCUUUUUCCUCCGUUCUCUCUUUUCCGGGCUUCUGGGCCUGCUAUCCAGGACACAGAUCCAUAGAUAACGCCGUGACAGUUGGAAGGGAUCUCUGAAGGCCAUCUAGUCCUGCUCCCGUGCAGUGCACAGGGACACCACAGCUAGAUGAGGUUGCCCAGGGCCUGAUCCAGCCUCGCCUUGAAAAUCUCCAGGGAUGGGGCACCAACCACAGCACUGGGUAACCUCAACCUGUGCCUUGCCACCCUCAUUGUCAAAGAUGUUUUGCUUAUAUUUACCCAAAUUUUCCCCUCCCUGAGCUUGAAGCCAUUCCCCUUGUUCUGUCACCACAGACCCUGCUCAAGAUUCUGUCCCCUUCUUUCCUGUGGCUCCCCUUUGGAUACUGAAAGGCUGCUAUUGCGUCACCUCGCAGCCUUCUGUCUUCCAGGCUGCACAGCCCCAGCUCUCUCAGCCUGUCCUUGUAGGAGAGGUGUUCCAUUCUGCGGAUCACUUUUGUGGCCCUUCUCUGGACGCGCUCCAGCAGCUCCAUGCCCCGCUUUCUUUGAUGCAGCCCAGGAUAUGGUUGGCUUUCUGAGCUGCGAGGGCACAGUGCUGGCUCAUGUCCAGUUUGCCAUCCACCAGUACCCCCAGGUCUUUGUCAGAAAGGCUGCUCUCAAUCCUUUCAUCCCCCAGUUUGUAUUAGUAAUGGGGCUUGCCUCAACCCAGGAGCAAGACCUUGCACUUGGAUUUCUUGAACCUCAUGAGGUUCACCUGGGCCCACUGCUCAAGCCUGUUUAGGUCCCCCUGAAUGGCAUCCUGGCCCUCUCGUGUGCUGACCGCCCCCCACAGCUUGGUGUCAUCACAAACUUGCUGAGGGUGCACGUGACCCCUCUGUCGAUGUCACCGAGGAAGAUACAAAAGAGUAUUGGCCCCAGCACCAGCCCCUGGAGGACGCCACUCGUCACCGAUCUCCAUCCAGAUAUCAAGCCAGUGGCCACCACUCUCUGGACUUGAUCCUGCCGCCAGUUCUUCAUCCAUAGAACAGCGCACCCAUGAAAUCCGUAUCUUUCCAACUUGGAGAGAAGGAUGUUGUGGGGUACCGUGUCAGAGGCCUUACUGAAGUCCAGACAGUGACAUCAGUGGUUUUUCCCUUGUCCAUUGAUGCAGUGACACCAUCAUAGAAGGCCGCUGGGUAGGUCAGGCAGGAUUUGCCCUUGGUGAAGCCAUGCUGGUUCUCCUGUAUCAGCUCCCUGCCUUAGCAUAGCUUCCAGAAGGAUCUGUUCCAUGAUCUUCCCCGACUGACAGGUCGGUAGUUCCCAUGGUCAUCUUUUUUACCCUUUUUAAAAAUGGGUAUGAUGUUUNGGGGAAUUGAUCUAAAGAAGCAGAGCACAACGUAUUUUGUAACUUCCCCUUAGAAACAGCUAGUUUGACAAGCAGAAAUACCACAUAUUUCAGUAACAUAUUUGAGAAAUACAGUUGUUGAAUUUUGUGAUUAAUUCUCACUUGUAAAUCUCUAAUAGUUGUGAAUAGUAUGGGAAUAGUAUUAUGGACUAGAAAGAAUGCUGUAAGGCUGUUCUGUUUGGCUAAGAGACCCUCAGCAAAAGAAAAGGAGACUUGUCAAAGAUCAGAGAAGCCAGGGCCUCCACACAAGGCCAAACUGCUUCACGCUGUGGGUAGGCUGGGAUAAAACAGGCAGCAACAAUUUAUGUUCAACCAGUAUCUAUAUGUUUAGUUGAGCGUCAGAAAGAUUGUGAACCUAAAGUAUUCAGCCAAUGAGGAACCAAGGGAGGAAAAGAUAAGUGUCAGGUAAUAGGGCAUAAAAGAUGGAACACUGCUUUCUGCAGGUCUGCCUGCUUGCAGGACGCCCACCACUGCAAUUGUGAAUAAAAUGUGCUUUUAUCAGAGAUACCA
ensembl:lncRNA